AGUGAACGCUGGCGGUAGGCCUAACACAUGCGAGUCGAACGGCAGCACAGUAAGAGCUUGCUCUUACGGGUGGCGAGUGGCGGACGGGUGAGGAAUACAUCGGAAUCUACUUUUUCGUGGGGGAUAACGUAGGGAAACUUACGCUAAUACCGCAUACGACCUACGGGUGAAAGCAGGGGAUCUUCGGACCUUGCGCGAUUGAAUGAGCCGAUGUCGGAUUAGCUAGUUGGCGGGGUGAAGGCCCACCAAGGCGACGAUCCGUAGCUGGUCUGAGAGGAUGAUCAGCCACACUGGAACUGAGACACGGUCCAGACUCCUACGGGAGGCAGCAGUGGGGAAUAUUGGACAAUGGGCGCAAGCCUGAUCCAGCCAUACCGCGUGGGUGAAGAAGGCCUUCGGGUUGUAAAGCCCUUUUGUUGGGAAAGAAAAGCAGCAGGUUAAUACCCCGCUGUUCUGACGGUACCCAAAGAAUAAGCACCGGCUAACUUCGUG
rnacentral:rRNA from 1 species